rnacentral:rRNA from 1 species
GACCAGCGGAGGGAUCAUUACCGAGUUUACAACUCCCAAACCCCUGUGAACAUACCACUUGUUGCCUCGGCGGAUCAGCCCGCUCCCGGUAAAACGGGACGGCCCGCCAGAGGACCCCUAAAACUCUGUUUCUAUAUGUAACUUCUGAGUAAAACCAUAAAUAAAUCAAAACAUUCAACAACGGAUCUCUUGGUUCUGGCAUCGAUGAAGAACGCAGCAAAAUGCGAUAAGUAAUGUGAAUUGCAGAAUUCAGUGAAUCAUCGAAUCUUUGAACGCACAUUGCGCCCGCCAGUAUUCUGGCGGGCAUGCCUGUUCGAGCGUCAUUUCAACCCUCAAGCACAGCUUGGUGUUGGGACUCGCGUUAAUUCGCGUUCCUCAAAUUGAUUGGCGGUCACGUCGAGCUUCCAUAGCGUAGUAGUAAAACCCUCGUUACUGGUAAUCGUCGCGGCCACGCCGUUAAACCCCAACUUCUGAAUGUUGACCUCGGAUCAGGUAGGAAUACCCGCUGAACUUAAGCAUAUCA